UACGUAGGGGGCGAGCGUUGUCCGGAUUCAUUGGGCGUAAAGAGCUCGUAGGCGGUUCGGUAAGUCAGGUGUGAAAUCUCCACGCUCAACGUGGAGGGGCCACCUGAUACUGCCGUGACUCGAGUCCGGUAGGGGAGUGUGGAAUUCCCGGUGUAGCGGUGAAAUGACGCAGAUAUCGGGAGGAACACCAGUGGCGAAGGCGGCACUCUGGGCCGGAACUGGACGCUGAGGAGCGAAAGCGUGGGGAGCGAACGGG
rnacentral:rRNA from 1 species